AAUUCAAAUUUCAAAUCCCUUCACUUUUAUCCAUCAAACAUUGGUAUUCCAUCAAACAUUCAAUGCUUGCUUCUUUCCGAGGCAUGCACAUGGCUCAAAAUUUGGCUUCAAUCUUACCCACUCUUCUCAAUCCAAAGGCAUCUGAACCAUCCCUAACAAAACUAUUUCCUUGCCUUUUGUUCUCUCUCUCUCUCUCCUAUCAUCUCACGCCCAUUUUUCUCUGAUAUGAGAAAUUCAUCUUCCAUUUUCAGUCCCUCUUCUCUCUCUCACUCCAGUUACCCUUCUAAAAAACCAAGUGACGAUAUCACAAGUGACGAAUCCGGAGAAGACAAAGAUGGAGAAGAUUACGUUUUUAUUGUGUGCCUCGGCCUUUAAGGAACUGAUUUGCGGUUCUUGCUCAAUUCCUAUCCCAUUGAUUAAUUUCGUCAGCUUAUGUCGUUACAUGUUCAAUUCACCAUGUGUUUCCGGCAACAGAGUUGUUCUUCUCGACACACGCUAUUUUUUUAAGGGUUGUCUUUGAAGCUCGCACUCCUGCUACUAAAAAAAAACAAAGAAUGGCAAGAGCAACUUCCCGUUGUUGUUCUCAAAGCUGAAGAAAUCAUGUAUUCCAAAGAAAUCAUGUUAUCCCUUUGAGAACCCCAUUCAAGAAUCAAAUAUGUCCAACAAAAUGAAUGAUGCACGAGUUACAGGAGCGAAGUUUGCUGCUGAAGUUAUCAAUUUCCUUUAACUAAUAAAUCAUUGCUGGUUAAAGCUGGUUUCAAGAAUUUCUAGCUAUUGUGGAAUUGAAAGCAUAAAGUGAUGGUCUUUAUUAAGUGACUGAAGUUGGCGGUCUGCUAUGGAAUGCUUCAGAAGACUCCAGGAAAUUGGUUUUCAAAUUACUCAUUUAGUGACAUUUUGGGAUUGACUUAGUACACUUGCAUUGCAUCUUAGGACACUUGAUUUCAUUAGUCUUAUAUAGUGGCGUAAUCUGAUCUAAAUGUGUUUUUGGUUUCCCUUUUGAAUUUGUUGGUAGUCAUAUGAUGCACUUAAGUUGAGACUUCAUAAAUAUAUUGCUUUGAUUGAAGGGAAGAAAAAUUCAAAAGUUGUUAGUGUUCAUAUUCUCAAGUUAUUGUCUUUUUAAUAUUCUUUUUUUGUUAUCAUUCAUUUACAGGUUCCAUGAGAUCAAGGACACCACUAUAUCAAUGAGUUAUGAAUUAACCAAUCGAAUAGCUCUACUUCGUUGUAUAUGAAAUCCAAAGGAGUGUUUACAAAGGGGAUGACAGUUGAGAGGGCAAGCCUCGGGUCUGUUGCUGCUGUUAGGUGCUUUUUUCCUGUCAGUUUUUUCACCGUCUGCUGGUCUGGUGUGUGGCUUUGGCUGCAGUUUUUGUUUCGGUCCUGUUUUAGGCGUUAUGCGCAAUGGUGAUUUUGAUUUGUUGGUUUGUAUUGUGAUGGGGUAGGGUAUUUUGGUUUCCUAUUGGUUGCUUGCCGCAUACAUAAGGCUUCCGUAAUUAUGUUUGUUUCUUUGCAUGUUUUGUGCAAAUUAGCUGUUAAAUAUAUAUGUUGCUUUUAAAAAAAAAAUAGCUCUACUUCAUCUUUUAUCACAACUAUUUUAAUAAUUGAUUUUUUAUUUUUUAGUAGUUGGAAGUGAUUCUUCAACAUAAUCAAGUUUUACCUUUCUCACAAAUAAUCUGUUUCUUUGGUUCUUGACAUAUUUUAAGGUAACACACGAGGAAAACAAUUUUCUAGGAUCCUGCUAGCUUUAUUUACGAAGCUGUUUUCAAUACUUAUUUUUGAAAGAAUUUCUAAUAUGUGAUUGUUUUUAUUUUUGGUUUCUAUGGUAAAAUUGCUUCAUUCAAAUGUUAAGCGAACAUAAGAUACAAUCACUAUAGCUCAGAGGAUCAAGAAGCAACUUGAAGAUGGUAAUGUUUUUUAUGCACCCAACUCAUGGAGUGAAUUUGAGUCUGUGAUUUCUACUAGCAGCAAAUAUGAGGUAAUUUUCAUUCAACUUCUAUUUAUCCCAUAAAAGAGUGCCCUUUCUAACCACAAUGCAGCUUCGACACAUCAAAGUGGUUGUGUGUGUCAUUCAUACCUCCUAACUAAAAUGCAUUAAUUUUUUUGUUCAAUAUCGGAUUUUUUACAAUGAAGUGGUACUCCAAAUAUCAUAUAUCGACAAGGACGAGAGGUCUUCUCCUCUUGGUGGUGAUGGCGAUAUUGACACUUUACUAAAUUGUGAUGCAAGGAAGUUAAAGAUCAUCCCUAAGAUUGUCAUGCAAGUCUUUAAUUAUGCAACCAUGAAUAAAGAAUUGUUCUAACUUGCCGUGACAGCGGAAAUCAUGUGUAUAUGAAGGCAGGAGUGAUUGUUUUCCAUCUAGCCGGAGCAAGCAGACAGCUGCUGCUCUCAAAUUAACACGGGACCUGCAGAAAGAUUAGCUGCCACAAGAGAGUGUAGACCAAUUUGUUGUGUAUGUGCUUCUACCUAUCCGCUGAUGGCUGCCACUUUAACUAACAUAAAUGAUUUCUCCACCAAACUUUAGGUUGAUCCUUCUAUUGGAAUGUUACUUCAUGAUUUUCCUCAAUUUAGACGUGGCUUGAUUUUAUUGUCAAAAUAUACCAUUAUGAAAAACAAAUUUCUAAAAAAAUGUCUUGUGCUCAAACUUUUCUCUUUGUGCAUGUAUGAUGACAUAUAAUUCAUUUGGCAGCAUGUAAUUUCUUUUGUUGCAGGUAUAUGUAUAAUUUACAUGAUACCAUUUAAUUUCUUCAACUCCCACAUGUUUUAGCAUUGUCUUUUUAUGUCACUUGGGCUGCUUAAAUUGUGUUUGCAAUUGAUAUAUAUGGUAUUGUCAAAAUAUACAAGAGAAACAAGAAUUUAUGAUACUGCUUUUCUAAUAUGAAGUUGAGAAUUUAUGAUGCAGGGACUGAAUGUGCAGGAUUAGAAAACCUUUGCAAUUAUGUUUUGGUUCAUAUGGCGUCGUUAAAAUGAAAAAGUCUGGCACAAUUUCAGUUCAUGACACGCAUGACGUGCAAUCUGAUUGGCAGCAGCUGCACGCUAAGCACAGUGCAGCAGCUGCAAACAGUAGCACUGACAAUUUUAGCAGCACUAUUGGAGUUCCAUGGUGGACUAAGCCACCAAAUAGAGAGAUAAAAUGCAAUGUCGACAGAACAUCUCUUUCACAAUUACCGUAUUUAUCAUAUAACCAUAUAAUCUUCAUAACCCAAAGAGUGGUGAUCACCGCUAUUCAGGAACAAGUUUUUAUUGUGUUAUUCUUCAAUGUUAAAUCACCGCUAUUUAGGACGAAUAUUGAGUUGUCUAAAAUAUGUUAUUUGUGGCUGCACUACACUUGUUUACAAAGAAAUUUUCCGCAAUGUACUAACAUGAACUCAAUUUAAUUGUAUUUUAUUAGUCA